GGAGAGAUGGCUCAGAGGUUAAAAGCACUGACUGCUCUUCCAGAGGUCCUGAGUUCAAUUCCCAGCAACCACAUGGUGGCUCACAACCACCUUGAAUGGGAUCUGGUGCCCUCUUCUGGUGUGCAGAUAUACAUGGAAGCAGAAUGUUGUAUCCAUAAUAAAUAAAUAAAAUCCUAAAAAAAAAAAAAAAAAAGAAUCAAACUGGAAGAGCAACCUUUAGCUCCCACGUAGUGUAUACACAGGGAUGGGAGCCGACCGGUGUGUGCACACUGGGGACCUUGAUUAAGGAGGAGUGCAAGUUUUAUUUGCCUCCUAUAGCAUAAUCUCUAUUGGGUAAAUUAACCUGGGGUUCCGCCUCCUACCCCUUGUACAAGGGAAGUACAAGACCCUUGUCCUUCCAACACAGACCUUAUCAGUUUAUCCUUCUCAGAGUUGCCAGCCUUCUCUUAUCUUUCUCUUCCCACUGCACCUUUUCAGCUCCUGGUGAGAUUAUCUCUUGGCCAAUUUGAAUAAAACACAGUGCUAAUGCAGAAUCUAUAAAUGCCGGUCAAAUGCUUGCUUCAUUCACCACAUCAGAGGGACUUUGUAAAGAGGCAGGGAGGGUCCUGAACUCUCUCAGGUACCCUGAGUGACUAUUGCUGACUUCUAGGUUUGGCCCACGGUUGUUAGUCUGUAUUUUAGAGGUUUUGUGGUUUAACUUUUUUAUUAUUAUAUUCUUUAAAAAUAAAACCCACUUUUCUUAUUUUCCUCUUUCUCUUUUUUCCCUCCAGGGGGAACCAGGGAUUAAGCCCAGGGCCCUGUGUAUAGUAAGCUAUAUCACCAGUCAAAAAUAACACUUUUUUUGCUGAGUGUAGUGUCACACGCCUUUAAUCCCAGCACCUGGGAGGCAGAGGCAGGCAGAUCUCUGUGAGUUUGAGGUUUGUCCGGUCUACAUAGUGAGUUCCAGGACAGCCAAGGCUACAUACUAAGAGCCUGUCUCAAAACAGUAACAAAAACAAAACCACUUCCUGGGACAUUUUGAUCACAUUUAGAUAUGCUGAUGUGGAUGCAAACACAUACUGCAUGUGUGAGCAGUCUCCAUGAGCUUUCCCAGCCAAGGAUAGAGAGACACACUUUCAAUUUAAUUUUUAUUUAUUUUUCAUGCUGUUCGUAUGCUGUCACAUGUAUACUGGUGGGGUGGGGGUCCAUUUAGAGGCCAGGGCUGAAGGGUGUAUUUGGGCUCAUACUUCAAGAGUGUGGUCCAUGUUGGCAGAGAAGGCACAGCAGCUGCCAAUUCUGGGAGAGAAUGAUGAGUUCAGUGUUUCUCCUGAAGUGUUUCCAGAACUCUCACUAGGUAAUGAGCAACGAUGACCAACUGACCCGAAUCUGAUUACAUAGAAAAACUAGGAAGGAAGUUUGGUGGUGGAAUAAGCACAUGCCUAGCAAGUGUAAGGCACUUAAGAAAACCAUAGAUUCAGAAGGCAUAGCAAUAUGCUGGGUGCCACCACAUACCUUCUUCCUCUAUCCUUCCAACAGGAGGCAAGUGAUAAUGUGGCUUUACAGUACAGACUCAAAGCCUGAGUGACUCAUGAUGUAAGUGACAGAGUUGCAAUUUGAACACACUGCAUCUGGCCAAGAAGAGAAGUGGCAAGAUCUGAAGAAGAACAAAGUAUGGAGGAAGUUAAAAGAAUACAGUGGGUUGGUGACUGGCUAAAGACACUUGCUGGGAAAGCCUGGUGACCAGAGUUUUAUCCCCAGAAUGCACGUAAAAGGGAGAGGGAGAGAACCAGCUCUACAGUUAUUCUCUGACCUCUACACGGGUACUGUGGAAUAUCAUGCACACACACAAUAAUAAUAAUAAAAUAAAAAUGUCAAAAUAUAGCCAAACAUCAGGUGUCAUGGCACAGCCUGUAAUCUUGGCACUCAUGAGGACGAGGACUGCAAGUUCAAGGUGAACCUGAGCUUCAUAGUGAGUUCCAUCCCAGCUUGAACAACCCACUGAGAUCCAGUGUCAAAGAACUAACUGGGCAUGCCAGCAAGAUGGCUCAGAGGGUAAAGGUACUCACUAACAACCUGAAUUCAAUCCGAUGUGGGACUCACAUAGUAGAAGCAAAAAACCAAUUCCGCUAAAUUGUCCUCUGACCACCACACCUGUGCUGUGGCUCAUGUGCCUGUGUACAUAGAUAUACACACACAAAAUAAGUAAACAUUGUAAGGUGGGGGUGGGGGAAGGACCCUAAAACUAACCAGGGGCUGGAGAGACGGUUCUGAUAUUAAGAGCACUUACUCUGCAAUUACAAGGACCAGAAUUGAGAAUGCAGCACUCACUUAACAAGCCAGGCAUCUCUGAAAAUGCCUCUAACUCCAACCCCAGGGUGAGUGGAAACAAGAGGAUCUGGGGGCGUGCUGGCUUUCAGCCUGAGACAGUGAGUCAGUCUUAGGUUCAAGCAAGGCACUUGCCUCAGAAGAACACGCAGAAAGUGACAGCAGAGGACACCUAAUACCCUCUUCAGGCCUGUGUGAGCUGUAUGCAGGUGCAUACACACACAACACACACACAAGAUUACGUCUAAAAGACACUAAUUUAAAAAUACAGAAUUAGAAAUGAUGACUAUCCUUUCUGAUGAAAGCUAAAAAAAACAAACUCCUGACAAUGGAAGAAAACCAACUCUGCAAAAUUCGAAAGGCCAGGGAGGGGAGAGGGUGUGGGCCCACAGGUCAGGACAGCACACAAGCUUUGCUUGGGGCCUCUGUGAUCUCAUCAGUGCUUUUCAAUGAGCAAACUUCGGACAUAGAAGACAACUACAAGUGUCACAGACAACAGACCCCAGAUCUUCCUAUGACCACACUAAAGCUUGUGUGGUGCACAAGGACCUGAGCCUCUUUUCCUCUCUGAGACCUUAUGCUUUUAAAGAGUUAUCCCCCUAUCUCCACGCUGAAUCCACCAGUGUCAAUCUCACUGGUGCUGGUGCCACCAACCUACUCAGUAUUCACAAGGAGCCUCUGCUUUUCCUUCCCCUGGAGAUGUCUGUCCCAGGCUUCCCGCACAUGACAUCUGCUUCCUCAGAAACGGAUCAGAGCCAAGACAGGGCUAAAGAGAAGGCUUAGUGGGUAAGAGCAUCGUUGCUCUUGUAGAGGACCUAGGUUCAGUUCCCAGCACCCACAUAGUGGCUCACAACUUCAAGUUCCCGGGGAUCCAAUGCCCCUUUUUGGCCUCUUUAGGCCUAAAUGCAGAGAAAACCCUGGUACACAUAAAAGUGUAAGAACCCAGAAAGGAGGAGGGUGCGUAGUCAGUCUUCCAUUGCUGCACAAACACCUGAGAUAACUAAUGAAGAGGAAAGGUUGCUGGGUGUGAUGGAUGGUGCACACCUGUAAUCCUAGCACUUGGGAGACUGAGGCAGGAUGACAUGGGUUCAAGGUCAGCCUGGGCUACAUACCAAAACUCUUGUCUCAAAAAUAAAUACAUAAAUGUUUAUUUUGGCCACAAUUUUGUUGAGUUCGUGGCUCACUAUGUUGCUCUGAGGUCCCUAGCAAGGCAGCACACCAUGGAAGAAGCAUGUGGCAGAGCAAAACCUGCUAUAUCAGACCAUAAACUCAAGAGGUAAGUAAAGUAGUAAAGAGUAAGGAAAGUAAAGAGCUGAGGCUCUCAGCCUUUCUGGAUUAUUGAGGAGGUCAAAGUGUGUUGCAGAAUGAGGUGCUGGUCAUUUGCCAUGGUCAUCAGAUCACCUAUGCGUGCUGGGGGCCAGACUGCUGAAGCUCCCUCAGAAGAGAUGGGAAGGGUCACUGGGCCAGAGCUUUCAGCUUCUCCCCCUAGCCAUUUAUAUGUCAUUCUGCCUAAUUGCAUGGGAUCUUAGGAGGAGCUGGAGUACACUGACUAUGGGGAAGCCAUCAGCCAUGACCGGUAGGGACUUUCAGGCGCCCAACUUUAGGGUCACUCACUUUUGUAGGCAAUCCCUCAUUCACGCUCCAGAAACUCAGUGGUUCCACAGGAUGAACUUUGGGGCAAUCAGUUUGAUCUGUCAUUGGGGCCUUAUGAGGAAUAGGAAGACUUUUUUUUUUUUUUUAAACCUCUCUCCAGGGAGGGAAUUCUUGCAAGUCAUCAACACAUCGACAUUAAUAUUAUGCGCCGUCGAGCUAAGUAAUCAACGGCAACCCCAAGAGACGGAGCGAUAAAUACCCUGACGCCACGGUACAGUCACUAAAGUCACGUUUCCAGGAUUCCUCCCCAAAACAUUAAAGUUUGUACUCAGGGCUACUUUCUAGUUCCGAGGAAACCACCGAGUCACGUGUCCUCCUCUGCGGGUCCCAGGCCAGGCGCGCCCCCACACGCCCACGUUCCUCAAGUCACCCCUUUCGGUGCUCCAACACGCUCCCGGCCCCCCUUCUCGCCUGAGGUUCUCGCGUCUACACCGGCCUGCUCCGCUCCCGAAGCUGGGUCCUGAGGGAGGGGACGCAGCAACAAGAGUGUUGUCUCCGCGCACGCCGCACGCCCGCGGGAUCAGGGGCGACCUCGGAAGUGCGCGUGCGCACCGAC
rnacentral:lncRNA from 1 species